UCCUGGAUGUCAGACCAUACGACAACAUGAGGAACGGCUUCCUUUCUCAAGUUGUCUUUUUUCUACAGUUGGUAGCAAACUUAACUUGGUAGCCUAGUGAACUAGAGUUAACAAGAAAAGUGAACUAGCUUGUGCACUGGAUUUAACACUGAGGUGAACUGGAGUUCGCAUCAAUGUGCACUGGAGUUAACAACAGUUCACAAGCUACACGUUAUGCAUUUAGUGCAUACCUGUCUGACAAGAACGAGGUACACACCGGUGGCAGCUUGAAGUUUAUCAAAUCCAUCUCGAAUGUCGGAGGAGCUUACAACAAACAUACUGGUGUGUUUACGUCUGCAGUUGACGGGGUGUACGUCUUUCAUUUCCACGCCACCACAUAUGGUUCUUCAAAGCAUUGUACCCUCAUUCUCUUGCAUGGAAACAAGAACGUCACGAGUGCUUAUGACUACGACAGAUAUGGAUAUUCUUCGUUGGGCAACUCUGCUGUUAUAGAGAUUAAAAAAGCAGAAGUUGUACAUGUUGCAGUUACGUCAUCGUUUGUAACAAGCUCUUGUUAUUUGCGUGCUCGAUUUACAACCUUCUCGGGUUUUAAAUUACUCUAGUUAGAAAACCGGCAGUCUACAAUAGCUUCAGUAGAUAACACUUAUAUAUAACUCUGUCUUUACUUUCUGCUUAUGCGUGUUGCAAUCUAGAUCACUUGUAUCUUAUAUUUUAUUCUGGUUAGGUGCAAAUGAUUAUGUACAUAUAUUGUAACGCCCGUCAAAAUUAAUAUUUUCCUACAGUUUUGAAAUUCCUUUUAGUGUUCAUAUUCUUUUGAAAAUCAUUGAUUAUGUAUUCAAUAUUUGGUAAUAAUUGAAGGGAUUACAUUUUCUAUAAAUCUGUUCAUUUUACAAAUUUGUUUGUUUUGUAUUGUGUUACGGCCUAUCGACAAAUCAAAUAAUUAAAUAUUGUAGGAAAUAACGUUUGCCAAACGAAAUACCGUACAUAAAUCCAUUUGAAGUUAAAAAUGAAGAAAAAAAUGUAAAGAACAGUUGAAUGUGAAUAAUCAUAUGUUAAUAUAACAUAACACAAACACUUUAUAUGUAUGUGUGUGUAAACAGACCUUUUUAAGAAUGAAUUUACCACGCGUUUAAUAACUACAUAUAUAACAAAUAUAGAAUUAAAUUGUACAACUUCUUAUCAGCAAUAUAUCUAUUUUUUCUUGAUCUUUAUAUUUCGAUUUGUUAUUCCUUAUUGUAUAUGUCUGCUUAGUGCUGUUUCCGAAUAAAUGUCAUCAUCAAAACUCAACUGUCAAA